GACCCGGUGACACAGCGGUAGUGCAUCUGCUUGCAAUAUUGAAGUGGCAAAAUAGUAGGCGGACAACGUUGGUUCAAGUCCGGCUGGGCCU